UCUUUGGUAGUUUAGUGGUUAGUGUUCUAGUCUGGUAGACCAGAGGUGGUGGGUUCGAUUCCUACCUGAAGCA
rnacentral:tRNA from 1 species